rnacentral:tRNA from 1 species
GGCGAGAUGGCCGAGCGGUCUAAGGCGCCAGAAUCAGGUCGACGUGCGUACCAUUUAUCUGGUCCGAAAGGGCGUGGGUUCGAAUCCCACUCUCGUCA